CAGAAUCUUCCUUGAUAAGUGCUCUCAGCACUGGUUUAGAGAGUAAGGCAAGAGCUCUAACAGAAGUACUCCUCAGUGCUUUGAGCAAACAGGGCUGGUGGGAAGACUGACAACAUGAAGCAACUAGGGAUUUCCUGAGAGAUUUCUGUACAAAGAAGCUCAGCUGAAAGACGAGGAUGAAGGUUCAGAUGAACAGGGUAAGGAUGCAGCCAUGCAGAGUACCACCAUCCUGUGCCACAAAAUGCCUGGAAGAAAAUUCAAGACAGAGGGAAAACUCUAGAGCUACCUAAACUAUCAUUGAGGGAUUCCAAGGGGUUCCCUUGCUUAAACAUAACUUUUAUAAACUGGUAUUUCAAAAGAAUAAUGUGCAAACAUAUUCUAGAUACAGAGAGGUUCAUAACAGCAAGGUGGGAUCCUUAGAUUUCACAUAUCUAGUGAUAUAAGGUUGUCUCCAGACCUUGGCUCCUCUUCCACUCAUUUAAGCUAUUUUCCUGAACUGUUGCUUAGCCCAGAAAUAAAAAGUCUCCUGAAGAUGUUGUCUGUGGGAAU
rnacentral:lncRNA from 1 species